rnacentral:ribozyme from 1 species
AAGAUAAAGAAAUAAUAUAUACAUUAUCACCAUCUUUUAAAGUUUUAUGUUUUUCCAUAAUUGAUUUAAUUGUAUUUUUUUCUUCCUCUGGUUCAAUUGGAAGAAGA